GGGAAUGUGGCUUAGUGGUAGAGUGCUUGCCUCGCAUGCAUGAUGCUCUGGGUUUGAUUCCUCAGUACCA
rnacentral:tRNA from 1 species